GCGAUCUGCAUUUAAAACAGACUCAGAAGCAAGUAGUAUGUCUUGUCGGGAACAAUGGCAGAAGGACUGAGAAGCGCAAUUUCACGGAGGUUGAAGUGAAGACUCUAGUGGGUGAGGUGGAGCCCCGAAAAGUGGUUUUGUUCGGCGGUCACGGGACUGGUCAUUAACAACAAAAAACAGUGAGUGGCAACAUGUUGAUGCGGCAGUGAACUCGGAGUGGCACGGAUGUCAUUGGCACGGAGCGCACAUGCAGUCCCAGAAUGAAAAAAGUGGUCUGACGUAAAGGUGGAUGCAAAGCGGAGGCUGUCCUCACACCGCUAGAGCGUUACUACAACUUGGGGGUACCCAACCUACUCCUGACCUAACACCAAUUGACACAAGUAACAUCCAUAAUUGCCACCGCAAGCGUGAGUGGCAUCGUGUCCGAAAGGGAAGGAGACACUGACAACACAGAAGAACAAAAGUCAGCGGUCGGUGGGGAGGAGGACGAUGAUGCCCGCGAGGGGCCCUCGGCCGCAGGCCAUGCCCCCACCCCCAGCACCACGCGCCAUUCCGCCGGUCGGGUGCUCAGACACAGUUCUGCAGCUACAGAGGGAAACGAUAGAUGCAGUCAAUAACUUGACUGAGGAGAUGAGACUCCAUGGAGAAUUCCCCUGCCUCUGAUAGGAAAUGUUAUCACCGAA